rnacentral:rRNA from 1 species
CCUACGGGUGGCAGCAGUGAGGAAUAUUGGUCAAUGGGCGCGAGCCUGAACCAGCAAAGUCGCGUGAGGGAAGACGGUCCUAUGGAUUGUAACCCUCUUUUGUCGGGGAGCAAAAGACGCCACGCGUGGCGUUCAGAGAGUACCCGAAGAAAAAGCAUCGGCUAACUCCGUGCCAGCAGCCGAGGUAAUACUGAGGAUGCGAGCGUUAUCCGGAUUUAUUGGGGUAAAGGGGUGCGCAGGCGGAAGAUCAAGUCAGCGGUAAAAUUGAGAGGCUCAACCUCGUCGAGCCGUUGAAACUGGUUUUCUUGAGUGAGUGAGAAGUAGACGGAAUGCGUGGUGUAGCGGUGAAAUACAUAGAUAUCACGCAGAACUCC